AAUGAACGCUGGCGGCAUGCCUUACACAUGCAAGUCGAACGGCAGCAUGACCUAGCUUGCUAGGUUGAUGGCGAGUGGCGAACGGGUGAGUAAUGCAUCGGAACGUGCCUUUUAGUGGGGGAUAACGUAGCGAAAGUUACGCUAAUACCGCAUAUUCUCUGAGGAGGAAAGCAGGGGACCUUCGGGCCUUGCGCUAGACGAGCGGCCGAUGUCGGAUUAGCUAGUUGGUGAGGUAAAGGCUCACCAAGGCAACGAUCCGUAGCGGGUCUGAGAGGGUGAUCCGCCACACUGGGACUGAGACACGGCCCAGACUCCUACGGGAGGCAGCAGUGGGGAAUUUUGGACAAUGGGCGCAAGCCUGAUCCAGCCAUGCCGCGUGAGUGAAGAAGGCCUUCGGGUUGUAAAGCUCUUUCGGCUGGGAAGAAAUCGCACCCUCUAAUACAGGGUGUGGAUGACGGUACCAGCAGAAGAAGCACCGGCUAACUACGUG
rnacentral:rRNA from 1 species